rnacentral:rRNA from 1 species
UACGUAGGAGGCGAGCGUUGUCCGGAUUUACUGGGCGUAAAGCGCGCGCAGGCGGCAGUGCAAGUAAGGUGUGAAAUCUCCCUGCUCAACGGGGAGGGUGCACUUUAGACUGCACAGCUCGAGGUCGGUAGAGGGGGGUGGAAUUGCUGGUGUAGCGGUGAAAUGCGUAGAGAUCAGCAGGAACACCCGUGGCGAAGGCGGCCCCCCUGGACCAGCACUGACACUGAGGCACGAAAGCGUGGGGAGCAAAUAGG